AUUAUACUCCCUCCGUCCAAAAAUACUUGUCAUCAAAAUGGAAAAAAAGGGAUGUAUCUAAAACUAAAAUACAUCUAGAUAGAUCCCUUUUAUCCAUUUUGAUGACAAGUAUUUCCGAACGGAGGGAGUAUAUA
rfam:Triticum urartu cultivar G1812 contig309574, whole genome shotgun sequence.